UACGUAGGCAGCGAGCGUUGUUCGGAGUUACUGGGCGUAAAGGGUGCGUAGGCGGUUGUUUAAGUUUGGUGUGAAAUCUCCCGGCUCAACUGGGAGGGUGCGCCGAAUACUGAAUGACUCGAGUGCGGGAGAGGAGAGUGGAAUUCCUGGUGUAGCGGUGAAAUGCGUAGAUAUCAGGAGGAACACCGGUGGUGUAGACGGCUCUCUGGACCGUAACUGACGCUGAGGCACGAAAGCGUGGGUAGCAAACAGG
rnacentral:rRNA from 1 species